rnacentral:rRNA from 1 species
GAUGAACGCUGGCGGCGUGCCUAAUACAUGCAAGUCGAGCGAACAGACGAGGAGCUUGCUCCUUCGACGUUAGCGGCGGACGGGUGAGUAACACGUAGGUAGCCUACCUAUAAGACUGGGAUAACUUCGGGAAACCGGAGCUAAUACCGGAUAAUAUUUCGAACCGCAUGGUUCGAUAGUGAAAGAUGGCUUUGCUAUCACUUAUAGAUGGACCUGCGCCGUAUUAGCUAGUUGGUAAGGUAACGGCUUACCAAGGCAACGAUACGUAGCCGACCUGAGAGGGUGAUCGGCCACACUGGAACUGAGACACGGUCCAGACUCCUACGGGAGGCAGCAGUAGGGAAUCUUCCGCAAUGGGCGAAAGCCUGACGGAGCAACGCCGCGUGAGUGAUGAAGGUCUUCGGAUCGUAAAACUCUGUUAUUAGGGAAGAACAAACGUGUAAGUAACUGUGCACGUCUUGACGGUACCUAAUCAGAAAGCCACGGCUAACUACGUG